rnacentral:rRNA from 1 species
UAUCUCUGUAGAGUCUGCAUAUCAAUAAGCGGAGGAAAAGAAACUAACAAGGAUUCCCCUAGUAACGGCGAGUGAAGCGGGAAGAGCUCAAAUUUGAAAUCUUCAAGGUUUGACCUUGACGAAUUGUAGUUUAAAGAAGUGUUUUCGGUUAGAGGAGUAGUAAAAGUUCUUUGGAAUAGGACAGUCAUAGAGGGUGAGAAUCCCGUAUUUGACUAUUCUUUCUAGCUUUGUGAUACACUUUCAAAGAGUCGGAUUGUUUGGGAAUGCAGUCCAAAAUGGGUGGUAAAUUUCAUCUAAAGCUAAAUAUUGGCGAGAGACCGAUAGCGAACAAGUACCGUGAGGGAAAGAUGAAAAGAACUUUGAAAAGAGAGUUAAACAGUACGUGAAAUUGUCAAAAGGGAAGCGUUUGACACCAGUGUUGUUUUUCCGAAAAUCAAUUAAAAAUAGAUUCAUGCCUAAGUUAGUAUUGACCUUAUCAGCUUGCAUGCUUAGGUUUUGGGUCAUCUUUUUGAUGCACUUUUCGGUUAACAAGUCAACAUCAAUUUCCUUUGCUGUAAAAAGGUAAGAGGAAGGUGGCUUCAAUUUCGGUUGAAGUGUUUAUAGCCUUUUAUCUCUGCAGUCGGGGAGAUUGAGGUCUGCAGCGUAGAUCCUUCGGGGCUAGAUACAUUUAUGCUAAGUUAUAGCUUUUCAUAGACAACUUGUUGACUAUGUUUAGUCAUGUAGCUUACUCGUAAGUGCUAUUUUACCUACGCUUAGGAUGUUGAGCGCAUGUCUCUCUCU